GAUGGGUUUUCUGUAUCAUAUCCGCUGAUGUAUGCAUUGUCAGAUUUUGCACCGAAAAUGAGUAAUUUUCCCGUAGUGGCAAUAUAUAAGCCUCUUGAUCGAUGCAUGAUUCGGUGUUCGGAAGUUCUUCAGCAUCCACAAACGCAUCUCUCUCGUUAUCUUCAUCACCCUCGUCAUCAGAGAUCUAUAAAAAAAAUAAGACAUUUUUUCAUAACAUUUUCUACUGGUUGAUAGAAAACUUAAUAUAAUAAGUAAAACGUAUUUCUUAUGCAAAGACUUGCUUUACAGAUACCAACAACACCAGAAG
rnacentral:lncRNA from 1 species